rnacentral:rRNA from 1 species
GGCCAACUACGUGCCAGCAGCCGCGGUAAUACGUAGGGUGCAAGCGUUGUCCGGAAUUAUUGGGCGUAAAGGGCUCGUAGGCGGUCUGUCGCGUCGGGAGUGNAAACUCAGGGCUUAACCCUGAGCCUGCUUCCGAUACGGGCAGACUAGAGGUAUGCAGGGGAGAAUGGGAUUCCUGGUGUAGCGGUGAAAUGCGCAGAUAUCAGGAGGAACACCGGUGGCGAAGGCGGUUCUCUGGGCAUUACCUGACGCUGAGGAGCGAAAGUGUGGGGAGCGAACAGGAUUAGAUACCCUGGUAGUCCACACCGUAAACGUUGGGCGCUAGGUGUGGGACUCAUUCCACGAGUUCCGUGCCGCAGCUAACGCAUUAAGCGCCCCGCCUGGGGAGUACGGCCGCAAGGCUAAAACUCAAAGGAAUUGACGGAAUCGA